UGCAAUAGUUGUCUUUCAAAGCCUUUUCUUCACUUGCAUUCCUCAGGGAAAUGGGAGAUGAAAGGGGCAAUGCCAAUAGUGAAUCAAGAGGAACAGACCUGAGAUCCAUGCAGCAGCAUUUCUGCUUUCUGUCGUCCACAUCUGAAGAAUGCAGCAGCAGAGAGGCUGUGGCUGAGAUGUGACACCAUGGCUGGAACACUACAAGACUCACUAGACAUCCAUGGUAGCUC